CUGGAGUUAAGAGUGUGCUCUUCUGCGCUGUUUUCCACUCCCUGCUCUUGUGUUAUGUCUGUUUUAACUCCUCAUCUCCUGGUUGACACCCAUACCGAUAAGAAAGUUAGUGAAGCACUACGAUUUGCUAAAAGUUAUCUACAAUAAGGGGGGUAGAUGUGCAU